GACGAACGCUGGCGGCGUGCUUAACACAUGCAAGUCGAACGGUGAACCUCUUCGGAGGGGAUCAGUGGCGAACGGGUGAGUAACACGUGGGCAACCUGCCCCCGGCUCUGGGAUAACUCCAAGCAAUUGGGGCUAAUACCGGAUGUUCACCGCUUCCCGCAUGGGUGGUGGUGGAAAGGGUUUCCGGCUGGGGAUGGGCCCGCGGCCUAUCAGCUUGUUGGUGGGGUAGUGGCCUACCAAGGCGACGACGGGUAGCCGGCCUGAGAGGGUGACCGGCCACACUGGGACUGUGACACGGCCCGGAGUCCUACGGGAGACAGAAGUGGGGAAUAUUGCGCGAUGGGCGGAAGCCGGACGAAGCGACGCCGCGUGGGGGAUGACGGCCUUCGUGUUGUAAGCCUCUUUCAGCAGGGACGAAGAGCAAGUGACGGUACCUGCAGAAGAAGCACCGGCCAACUACGUG
rnacentral:rRNA from 1 species